CGGAGCGGGCGGUGUCGCAGUCCCGUCCCGGUGCCGUCCCGGGGUGCCGGUGCUCGCCAUGGGCUCGGCUCCGCCCGCCUUCAUCGGCGCCGAGGAGGUGGAGAAGCACCUGCCCCGCUCCAGCCUCCUGCUGCCGGCGCUGGAGGCCGCCCUGGGCAACUUCUCGUCGGGCCCCGCGGGAGGCGUCGUGCAGCCCCUGCGCACCGUGCUGGCCGUGCCCGGGCACGGCGGGUACCUCGGGGUCAUGCCCGCGUACAGCGCUGCGGAUGAUGCUCUGACGACCAAGCUGGUGACUUUUUACGAGCACCUGAAGGAUUCCUCUGCCCCUUCUCACCAAGCGACCGUGCUCUUGUUUGACCCUCGCAGUGGCACUCUGAGAGCUGUCCUGGAUGGCAGUGUCAUCACAGCAAAACGAACAGCUGCAGUUUCUGCCAUUGCUACCAAGUUGUUAAUGCCAGCUUCUGCAGAGGUGCUGAGCAUUUUGGGAGCUGGUGUUCAAGCAUACAGCCAUUAUGAAAUCCUCACAGAACUGUUCACAUUUAAAGAGGUGAGGAUAUGGAAUCGCACCAAGGAGAAAGCAGAGAAGUUUGCCAGCUCUGUCCAUGGUGCCGUGCGGGUUUGCUCCUCUGCCCAGGAGGCCGUUGUGGGGGCUGAUGUGAUUGUAACAGCGACCAUGGCAACAGAGCCCAUCCUGUUUGGGGCCUGGGUAAAGCCAGGUGCCCACAUCAAUGCUGUUGGAGCGUGCAGGCCAAACUGGAGAGAACUGGAUGACAAACUGAUGAAGAAUUGCUUUCUGUUUGUGGAUUCCAGGAAGGCUGCUGCUGAAGAAUCAGGAGAUGUUAUAUUAUCAGGGGCAGAGAUUUUUGCUGAGCUAGGAGAGGUAUUGAAGGGUACAAAACCAGCCCUGCCUGAGAAAACAACAGUGUUUAAGUCCCUGGGGAUGGCUGUUGAAGAUACAGUAGCAGCAAAAUUUGUUUAUGAUGCGUGGUCAGCUGCCAACUAAAGAGGGAGUCUGCAAUGCCAAUGAGGGCAAGAGAAUGGUUUGCACUGAGUUUCCUUGGAUUCUUUGUUAACAAGGAAGGCAAGAGUCCUGUCUGAAUGUGGCCCUUCUAGAAGAGUCAGGAAUCAAAAGUAAAAAUUCAGCAAUCGACUGAUUUCUAAAGUUUUGUGAUUGCAAGUCUCAAAUACCUGCAGUGUUGCUAAUAAAUGGACCUCUCUUGUAACAGCAGGUAUCAGAUGUUUGCAGUGAUACUAACCAGGGUAUCUUUACAUAUUUUGGUGUCAUUCUGGAAUCUAUGCCUUUCCUCCCUAAUUAUUUGUGUAGGCAAAGUCUUUCUAUAGAUUUUGUUGUUUUUAGAGAGGUAAUUCAUGCUGCUGUAAAAUACAUCAGUUUGGACAAUGGACUCUGGCAUCAUAUUGGCCUGUGAUGGUAGUUUAUAUGCAGCUGUGGGUUUCAGUGCUCCAGUGACAGUAACCUUGUCUUGGGUCUCCUGGGAACACAGCCCACCUCUGACUCCUGGACAUUCCUUCCCUUCCAACUGACACUGGGACCUGGACAUCACCAUUUUUAUUUUCAACCCUUGCAGUCCAUCUUCCCCACCCCUAGACCCAAUGGUUUUUCGUUUAAGAGCACAGGUCUGAGUGGGAGUUUAUAUAAAUAAUUAUGCCUCCACACUGUUAGAUUUCUGCUCAGUACCUCCCUUAGUUCAUUCCUUGAUGGGGUGCUGCCAUCUUCAUAUGAGAAUUAAAAUGUGUUUUGAUUUAACUUUUAUCUCUGUUCUGUGGGCAGUUUUUGCUAUUAACCUCUGGUGCCUGUAAGUUCUCUUUCUAAAUUCCUUGAAGGUUGGAACCACACAAACACAUUUCAGUACAAUAAACUUCAAGUGUACAGGGAAAUAUUUUCAGUUUGGCUGUGCCAUGCCUCAAUUAGUAAUUGUUCUGUUAUCCCAAAUAUUAGCUGGGGCAGGAAUUUUCAUGAUCCUUCCCUGGCAGAGGAACCCAGUGACAUAAGGAAGAGUUCCAGUUUUGUGCUGUUAUGCAACUGCUUUGCAAGAGAUCGAGCAUCUGCUGGAAAACAGCUAUUGCCCUGGAAACAAAUUCCUGUCUCAGGCUAGAGCUGUGCCUUGGGAAAUUUUAUUUCUAUUUGCAUAGUAUUUCAGGCAGGCUAUUAAGUGUCUCUUCAUGCUGUGAAAGAGGUGACACAGAGCCAGCAGAAUAGAGUGGAGCAAGAGGAAGGAGGUUCAGAAGCAGGUGGCAUUAAAGCCCUGGGUGGUGCAGAGGGAAGUAUAGAAGAGGCUAAUGAGUACAGUGCAGGUGUGAUGUAAGUAAUACUCCCAGUUAGAAGCCUGGUGUGAGCUAGCUGGAAAAAAGUAGUAAGUGGCAGUUUGUAACGUGCAGAGGUAGCAUAGAAAGGGUAUCAGAGCAGUAAGAGAACAGGGACAAAGGAUGUGCUCGUGUGGAUAAGUUGAACUACACUGAUCCUGUUUAUUCCAACAGACAUUUCUCUAUGAGCUUUUGCAUUUUAACUGUAGCAAAAUUACCCUUCUAUUUUUACAUCUUAUUUCAUCUUUGUCAUUUCUGAGGUGUCCAGAAGUGUGUGUAUGUUGACUCAGUUGUGUUACUUCAGUGAUGGAGAUCUGCACUAACGUGAGGCAAACAUGAAAGCCGUGUAUGGAGCUGCAUGGAAAUGUACUAUUUACAGCAAUAUCCCCCAGUCCUGGGCCUUGUGUAACACAAGAUCUGUAAUCUGAGGUGAAACAUCGUGUUUGGGAAGAAGACAAGUCUAGUUUGUUUUCACACCUACUCUCCUACGGACUAUACACUUUAAAAAGUAGAUGGAGCCAGCCCAAAGAGCUGGUUCUGGAAACCCCCGGUGUUCUCAGCUUUCACUGGCAGGGGGAGGUCCUGGGAGCCUGGUUCAGUGUUGUACCUCUGAUGUCAGGAAGAGGAGUCGGUUCAGUUACAAUGGGAAUUGCUUGGAUGCCAUCCUUAAGUUUUUCGAGGGGAAAGAACAGCAUCAAUUUCCAUGUUUCCUUCUCUUACAAAUUAGUGGAUCAAGAAAUGGUGUAACUUGCAUUUAUAUUAAAAUUAAAUAAAUACUACUGUUUUUCUUCA